UACGUAGGGUGCGAGCGUUGUCCGGAAUUAUUGGGCGUAAAGAGCUCGUAGGCGGUUUGUCGCGUCUGCCGUGAAAGUCCGGGGCUCAACUCCGGAUCUGCGGUGGGUACGGGCAGACUAGAGUGAUGUAGGGGGAGACUGGAAUUCCUGGUGUAGCGGUGAAAUGCGCAGAUAUCAGGAGGACACCGAUGGCGAAGGCAGGUCUCUGGGCAUUAACUGACGCUGAGGAGCGAAAGCAUGGGGAGCGAACAGG
rnacentral:rRNA from 1 species